rnacentral:rRNA from 1 species
GACGUAGGGCGCGAGCGUUGUCCGGAUUUAUUGGGCGUAAAGAGCUCGUAGGCGGCCUGUCGCGUCGACUGUGAAAACCCGCGGCUCAACUGCGGGCCUGCAGUCGAUACGGGCAGGCUGGAGUUCGGUAGGGGAGACUGGAAUUCCUGGUGUAGCGGUGAAAUGCGCAGAUAUCAGGAGGAACACCGGUGGCGAAGGCGGGUCUCUGGGCCGAUACUGACGCUGAGGAGCGAAAGCGUGGGGAGCGAACAGGAUUAGAAACCCCUGUAGUCC